AUAAGAGCACAAAGCUUGAGAACCACGGAUGUUAAUUCUAAGCCAAAGGAAAGCUGGAUCAUUUCAACUUCCAGAUCGUUUAUCAUUAUGGUGAACUGUCAAUUUAUGGAACAAUUUUUCAUU